AUUUCUGUGGUGCAGUGGGACAGCGUGUCUUGCUGUUAACCAGAGGGUUGGUGGUUCAAGCCCACCCAAGGAUG